AGCGAACGCUGGCGGCAGGCUUAACACAUGCAAGUCGAACGGGCACUUCGGUGCUAGUGGCAGACGGGUGAGUAACGCGUGGGAACGUGCCUUUCGGUUCGGAAUAAUCCAGGGAAACUUGGACUAAUACCGGAUACGCCCUUCGGGGAAAGAUUUAUCGCCGAAAGAUCGGCCCGCGUCUGAUUAGCUAGUUGGUGAGGUAAAGGCUCACCAAGGCGACGAUCAGUAGCUGGUCUGAGAGGAUGAUCAGCCACACUGGGACUGAGACACGGCCCAGACUCCUACGGGAGGCAGCAGUGGGGAAUAUUGGACAAUGGGCGAAAGCCUGAUCCAGCCAUGCCGCGUGAGUGAUGAAGGCCUUAGGGGUUGUAAAGCUCUUUUGUCCGGGAAGAUAAUGACUGUACCGGAAGAAUAAGCCCCGGCUAACUUCGUGCCAGCAGCCGCGGUAAU
rnacentral:rRNA from 1 species